CUCAGUUCGGACUGCAGUCUGCAACUCGACUGNACGAAGCUGGAAUCGCUAGUAAUCGCGGAUCAGCACGCCGCGGUGAAUACGUUCCCGGGCCUUGUACACACCGCCCGUCACACCAUGGAAGUCUGCAAUGCCCGAAGCCGGUGGCCUAACCACUUAUGUGGAAGGAGCCGUCUAAGGCAGGGCAGAUGACUGGGGUGAAGUCGUAACAAGGUACC
rnacentral:rRNA from 1 species